GACAAAUAAAUUUCCCCAAAAACACAAAGUUUUGGUCCUAAACUUGCCGUUGUUUUUAAUCAAAAUUACACAUGCAAGCAUCCGCACACCAGUGAGAAUGCCCUAUAAAGUACCAAGGAGCAGGUAUCAGGCACAACCAAUUAGCCCAAGACACCUUGCUAUGCCACACCCACACGGGCACCCAGCAGUGAUAAAUAUUAAGCAAUGAGUGAACAACCAAUUCAAAGCUCGACUUAGUUAUGAAUACAAGGGCCGGUCAACCUCGUGCCAGCCACCGCGGUUAUACGAGGGGCCCAAAACAUCGGACAUCGGCGUAAAUUAUGGCUAGAGAAACCACUUACAACAUGGGAAAUAAACACAAACCCAACCGUAAAACCCGGGACAAAAGAAACUUAAAUUCCCAAUUACAAAGUAACUUGAAUCCAUGAAGACUAAGAAACAAACUAGGAUUAGAUACCCUACUAUGCUUAGUUGUUAACACGACAUUAAACAACACUAAUGUCCGCCAGAGGAUUACGCGCGAAAAGCUUAAAACUCAAAGGACUUGGCGGUGCUCCGUAUUCGCCUUAGAGGAGCCUGUCCUAUAAUCGAUACUCCACGCUUUACCUCACCAUCUUUUGUAAAACAGCCUAUAUACCGCCGUCGCAAACUUACCC
rnacentral:rRNA from 1 species